UACAGAGGUCCCGAGCGUUGUUCGGAAUUACUGGGCGUAAAGGGCGCGUAGGCGGUUAGAUAAGUUGGAUGUGAAAUCCCUGGGCUUAACCUAGGAACUGCAUUUGAAACUGUUUAACUGGAGUGCGGUAGAGGGUAGUGGAAUUUCCGGUGUAGCGGUGAAAUGCGUAGAUAUCGGAAGGAACACCAGUGGCGAAGGCGGCUACCUGGACUGACACUGACGCUGAGGCGCGAGAGCGUGGGGAGCAAACAGG
rnacentral:rRNA from 1 species